AUACCUUUCUCGGCCUUUUGGCUAAGAUCAAGUGUAGUAUCUGUUCUUAUCAGUUUAAUAUCUGAUACGUGGGCCAUCGGCCCACAUGAUAUUAAAUUUAUUUUUUUAGGGGGAGGGUCCACUACAGUAGCUUGCUACUGGGGCUCUCGCGCGUCGCCCAAGCGUUGCACUACAGCUCGGGCCUGGCGCACCCCAC
rnacentral:snRNA from 1 species